rnacentral:rRNA from 1 species
AUUAGGUGGUUUAGUUGUGGCCAUUGGAAUGUUUUUCGUGCUACCCAUAGGAUUGAAGUACAUAUAAAAUAGUAUUUGGAUUUAUUAGGAGGUUUUGAUUAGUAUCUUAGGGUGGGAGGCUGUAGCACUUUAGUGUAAGGUUUCGGGUAUGGAGAUUGAGGUGUUAAUUGGGGUGCCAGCAUCAGCGGUUAUACCCCACCUCUGGUUCCUUCUUAGGUCAAAAGUAUGCGUCGUAUAGAAUGUGUUGAACAGGUCUGUUAAAGGGGGUUUGGAUAGAUUUUGUUGAUACGGGGGCUUAUGGUUAGUGUAGUAGGCUCUGUUUACAGGGAAUGGGAUUAGAUACCCCCGUACUCUGGGGCUAGAAAGGCUUCCUAAAGCAUUAACUUUAACAACUUGGUGGUUUGUGGUCCGCCCGGGGCGGCAUGGCCCGUAAACGGAUACUCCUCCAAUUAGUUUGCUAACUUUUAGGUUUGCUAGUGUAUAUCCGAUGUGGAGGGAACACGGUAGGUGUAUAAAAUUUUCUUUGUUUAGUUAAGUUAACACAGGUCGUCAUGCUGCUAUAAGUUGGGGUUGGUUGUGCUAUAGGUUUUAAUUAAUAUUUGGGGGCCUUGGUGGUUGGAAUACCAAGCGGGUACCCCCUGUACUCGGAAGUAACACCAAAAUGAUUGUGUGGUGGUGUGAAGAUCGGCGGCUCCCACAUUCGUACAUAUCGCCCGUCACUCCCCUAUUAAUAGUGGAGAAGUCGUAACAUAGUAGUGGUACUAAAAGGUGCCGCUGG